UUCGCACAGGUUCUUAAAAACCGGUGGGAAAAAAAAUGGGCGGGAUUUGGAUAAUUACUUUUCGCACCGAUUCUUUAUAAACCGGUGCCAAAUCUUGAUUUUCGCACCGGUUUGAACCGAUUCUAAAUGUUUUUAUUAAAAAAAAAAAAAAGAGGGAAAGAGGGAUUUCGCACCGGUUCAGCCCAAAUCGGUGGGAAAAAUUCAUUUACAACCGGUUCGAACCGGGGCUGUAAAUUAAACAAAAAAAAACACUUAAUCGUGAAAUUCGAUCUUCUUCUUCCUUCAAUUCAGUUUUCGUUCCCCUUCUAGCUUUUCCACAUUCAAUUCGCACCCCCCUCGUUGUCGCCUACCUUCCCCAUAGUUGUACGACCUCCAUCGAACCACAUUCUGGGCUUUCUCACCUCCAUUGCCGCAACUCAUCUCUUUCUCUCCAUAGCUCUCCUCCAUUGAAGUGCAUUCUGCUGAGCUUUCCAACUCCAUUGUAGCAGCUUCGAGUUGAUAUUAUAUCAAUUAUUGAAUUUGACAAGACUAUGGACCACCUUGCUACUGGAGAUCGUGGGGGCCAGGUUGUUUUGUUAGAGAGAACUGACAGAAAGGGUCCUGGUGGACCUAGAAGAGAUCUUGUUAGUAGGCAUCUUGAGUUUCGCUAUCAGACUGAGUUUUUGAGCCAUGAACCAGAGUUUGAGUACCUAAAGAGUUUAGAGAUUGAAGAGAAAAAUAAAUAAGAUCAGAUGGUGUGAGAUGGCUAAUGGCGCACUAUUUCUUCUUUCCACUAAUGACAAAACCAUCAAAUUCUAGAAGCAAAAUAGGUGAGCUGAAAGGCCAGAGAGCAUGAAACAGUAUGUGUGCCCGAGUCAGCUUGUUCACACUUAUAAAGAUGUAUUAGCUCGUUCUGUUGGCUCUAUCAUCCAAGAAUUUGAAUUACAGCAAAUGUUAAGUACGUGUGCCCGAGUCCAACCCGUGAGGUCUGUAGCUAUCUUCACUCAUAUAUAACACCACACAUCACAAAGUACAUGUAAACACAUUCUUUACUUGAACCAACAAGGCAGACAGAGACUGUAAAAGCUGAGGUGAUUACUUUUGUCAACUCAAGGGAUUGCUUCUUGACACCAAUGUGCUUUAUUUCUCUUUUCUAUUUCUAGGACUAGGAUGCACCGCAAGAAUGGCCAAUUUCCCUCUUUGAGAGAAGGUUCAGCAUCUUUCAAUUUUGAAGCUAAAAAGAACUUAGUGGUUGGUAGAAGCCUGGGACCAGAAACUGUUUCAAACAAGUGUCACCACUGUGGUAUUAGUGAAAAUGAUACACCAGUAAUGUGAUGCGGACCAGCUGGUCCAAGAACCUUGUGCAAUGCUUGCGGACUGAUGUGGGCCAACAAGAUGUGAAUUCAUAAUAUUGUAUUUAAAAUGUUUUAGAGUUGAGAUUCUUGAGAGAGAUAAAUUGUUAUAAUAUCAACAUAUAUGCAUUGAGCUUUGCGUAAUUAAAAUAAUGUGCUGUAGGAUAGAGGAAACCAUUUGUGCAGGAUUCUGUCUGUGUAAAAUGGUCUAUGUAAUCUAAGUUUCUGAUACUAAGGAGCGAUUAUGUUGCUAGAGAAGAAAUUAUUAGCCUGAUUUGAUAAUUGAAACAAAUUUGGUUGAUAAUUGAACUAUGAAAUUGGACCUAUUCUCCCAUUACUACUACUGUUUAAUUGGAAAUAUGAAUUUGGACCUCUUCUCCCAACAAUGAACAAUGAUGCAGUUAGAAUUAGAUUCAUCUCAAUAAAUUAAUCCAAAAGAAAAUCAUUUUAUGGUUUAUAUGCUAUAUUUAUAGGUAGUGUGAUAAAUAAUAAUGAUCAAAGUUAGCAAGGUUUGAUCUUUGAUGACUGAAUAUUAUUUUGAGAUGGGAUGAGUGAUACUUGAAAACAACCAUCAGUUUGGUAAGAAAAGAUUUGCAAUAUAAUUCAUGGUUGUUUGCAUAUAUCUAUCUUUUAUGAUGUAUUCUUGACAAACAGACAUUGGAUUUUAUCAAAGUCUUUAUUUUUAUCAAUUAAGAGAUGUCUUCAGGAUUCAGGACAGGGUAAUCAAAAUUUUAUGAUCUAUUCUUGACUUGUGCUGACCAUAUAUGUCAACUUAGGCCAUUAAAAAAAGAUAGGAGGAAGUACUUCGCAUUACGUAUCCUGUUAUAAGUUAAUCAACUUUGUAAUGCACAUAAUGGCCAGAGUCUGAGAAGUGAGAACCACUAGUGUUACAAAUGCUCUUGAGUGAUCUUUGCUGACUACAUAGUAAAUUGUUAUUCUAGUCUGUUGGUGCCUUGCAUUUGAUGGAUUAUUCUUUCUGGCAUUGAGUUUUUUUCCCAUAAGUGAUCCCUAGAAAUUGCAAAGUGCCAUUAGCACAGCACCACAGCAGCCGCAGCAGAACCCAGCAAAAACAGGCAGCCUGACCCAGAGCACCCAAACCAGCAAGCAACACAGCACUACAGCAGAGCAGCAAACACCCUGCACAGCCUGUUAUGACACAACCACAGAAGCAAACAGAUGUCCAGCCAGCCUGAACAGGAUAAAGGCACAGCAGUGCAGCAUAACAGAAAUAGUCGCACAACAAACAGCGGAGCAGCCUGUCAACCUGAACACACAACAACACAGUAGCCAGCAGAGCAGCCACCAACACAAGACCAGGACAGCUCCUGCUAGAACUCAUACAGUAUGUUGUUUUUGAAGAAAAUAUAUAUGUUAGUGUUUAUAUGUCCAUUUUUUUAUGUAUAUGUUAGUGUUUAUAU